CUGGGCAACCAAUGCCUAAGCCGACUGGGAAGGAGCGCUGCGAGGAGGGGUCCAUUUGAACACUCAAAUGGUCUUAUAAAACCAGGGAAGUGAUCCCAGCUUUGCUAUUACAAGCCGCCGCUUAUGAGAUAAAAGGAAACAUUAUAUCCUGGAGGGUCCUGCAAGAACACUUUUUCUAGGACCACAGAACUUAGGAAGACGAAACGCGCCUCCUGCCAUAAGCUCUGUAGCGAAAUCGAGAACAACUCAGAAGCUUUGCCUGCGCAGUGUUCUAUCGAAGACAACAUCCACCCUGGGCUACCUGAAAAACGCCGACCAGUCUGCUUAAUACACACCUUUCUGGCUGCCAUGAAAACAAACCCAACUACCUCGCGCCUCCUUCUGUCGCCUCAAAUGCUAUCCUGAACCUGCUAAGCCAGAAGAACAUUUCCUGGGGGAUAAAAAGCUUUAAGCCAUACAAGUCUACGGGGCGAUUGAUUCACGCGAAACAAAAAGCCAUUAAUUGGCUCAAAAUAAUUAACGAGGGAGUAUUCUCCCAUGGGUCCAUCCCUGACACCCGGCUUCAGAUCAAAGUCGUUUUUAUUCCCAAGGAAGGCAAGUCCUUGCACACUGCCCCAAAAGAUUUCAGACCCAUUAGUCAAUCGUAUUUCCUUCUGAAGACGAUGGAACGGCUCCUGGGGCUGCAUCUCAAGGCGAGUAUUCCGCCCAGCCUGAUGCCUAACAAAACGGAAGAUCCACCGGAGCGAGCCACCGCUCACCGUUCACGAGUUAACUGACGGACCAGGAGGUUGUUUCCCGGACGGUGAGCCUUAUCGUUCAGAUGUUACAAAGCAGGACGGUUGACGCAGCAGUCCUCUCGCCCCUCCUAUGGAAUGUGACAGUGAAAUAACUGCUACGGAAGAUAGAGGAUGUGGUAGCCGCGUGGCAUAUGCGGAAGAUGUGGCCAUAGCAUUCUCCGGGCUUGGUCUAAAACGGAACAUGUGCUUUUCACUAGGAAGUACAAAGUUCCGCCAAUGACUCCAUCAAAACUCUAUGGAGAAGCGCUAGCCUUUAGCAACAAUGCCAAGUGUCUUUGUCUAAUCCUCGACAGAAAACUUGAUUUGAAACUGUUCAUAGAGGAUAGACUAAAGAAGACCAUAGUGCCUUUACAUGCAGAAAAACCAUCAGGUGAAGCCCUGGAUACCGUGAUGGACCUCCUUCCCGUAGAAUGAGAGAAGCCAAAUUAUGGAGAUCAUUCGCGUUUGGACGCUCGGGACUCCUGACGAGACUCCCUCAAUUACCAUAGAGCAAAGAUUACUGCAUCCCUAGUGGAGGUUGGGGCAAGCCAAGAGGCCAUUUUUUUUGUGUCCAAUCUAUCUUUAGACACUCACUUAGUAUGCGUCUUCUCGGAUAGCCAAACACCUGUUAAAGCUUUAGGCUCAAUAUCGUAAAACGCAGCACCUGUAAACGACUGCCGUAGAUCUCUGAACGAGAUCGCCAAGCAGUUGAAUCUCUUCCUUACAUAGGUCUCCGGACAUCGAAGGGAAUGAUGCCGCCGACGAACUAGCCAGCACGACACUACAAUUCCUCUCUUAUCAGAAAAGGAGCAAAUAACAAUGCCUUUGGCUACGUGCAGUCUUCUCACACACAAUAUAUUCGAGCAAUAUGCAAACAGGAGCUGGAAAUGGCAAACAAUUUUUUGGAUAUAACAAAAUUAUAUACGGACAAGUAAGAGAUCUACAAGCAACCGUCUGACGUUCCCCUGGAAAAAGUCAAAACGCAUCCCAGCUGGAAACGCAUUGUGCUGGCGAAACACCCGAUGGAGUCAGAAGUCCUGUAUAAUUGUAUUAUUGUAUAUUAUUAUAUUGUAUGUAUUGGUGCCAUAGGCAUGGUAGGUACCACCCAUAACACCGAGACCAGUAAGGUGUUACGUAAGACCCACAGGACCAUUAGACUCUGGGCUGAUGGCGUCGACAUUCUAUGACCUGAUUUGGCAGGCUGAACCUCUGCUGAAAUGGCCCAUAGGUGAAUGUCCACACCGCCCCCUCUUGUUUAAACCUUGGCAGGCCUCGAUUAACGCUUCCUGGUCGUCCCACUAAGGUGGGUGCGUAGGCUUGACUGAUCCAUAUCCCAACUAGCACCGGUCUGGCUGCGAACCCUGGUGCUCAUAAGACCCAGGGUCAACCCUAGCAUGGACCUUACCCCACGGAAAGGUACCCAUGGGACCGCGUCAGUGACUGCGCACUGCGGCCGGGGAUAACGAGCUCGAGUGGAGAUCCUUAUCACAUGGAAAACACAGCACACACACCAAUCUCACAGACAGGGGCGAGUCGCCCCAAAUGUCUGCUGAGCCCAUAAAGGAGCAACGAGGCGUCGAAUCAGCUCAAGCUUUCGGCGCAGUGCCAGGAAGAAAUAUCCCCCUCUGGUACAGUGGACCAAGGUGCCACACCAGCCGCUAAAAAACAGCAACAGGUGACAACAGGUGGGCCCCAGGGGAAGCAAAAAAAGUGAGCCCCGUGAGCGCGAGCCAAUUCCGUACGCGAUAAUUAUCCAACCUCAGGGCGAGCUUAGCACAGCAACAUCCUUCAUAUGGUCACCAGGCGCCAGGAUGGCAAGCUCCAGAAAGUAUGGGAUAAUAUAAACAGAAUCUGGAGCUCAACGGUAUUGCACUGGGACUGCAGUGUGAGAAGAACUCUGCAUGGAGGUCAGGGAUCUUAACAGGCUGUUCGAGAAGGAGGAUAUCGCAGCAGCGAUAGCUGCAUAAAUAGCUGUGCCAUUAAAAGCCUGAGGGCAUCUUUUGGUGGAUCGCACUGGAUGCUGCCUCAGAUGCGGCGUAAACGAGCACAAGGCGGCAACCUGUCAGAGCGAUCUGCGGUGUUUCAUCUGCACUGCUAACAGCAAUGAGACGAGUCACUAUGCAGGUAGCAUGAGAUGUCCAGCAGCCAGGAGUGCGUCCAACUUACCGGCCCAAUAAUGAAGGUUAUGCAGCUCAACCCUUCUGCUGCGUCUCAAGACCUGCUGAGCCAAACCGUGAGAGAAUUGGCAAUUGACCUCGCCAUCCUCAGCGAGUCAUACCAAAAUAGGGAGUCUCCUGCGUUCAUCCUGGAUGCCAAAUGCGAAAUGGCGGUGUCACACCUUUGCAGCUUUCCCUCACAAGCGCUGCUACUGGAUUUGUGCGCUAAGGUCGCAGGGGUCUGGGAAUACAGCGUCUACCUCACCCCAAGCCUGUCGCUCUCCGAAUUAGCAGGUACUCUAAACAACAUAGCGGCGGAUGCUAGAGGACGUCACCCAGUAGCCAUCGGACACCUACAUACUUCAACACGUGGGCUGAGGAGUGGGGAAGCGUGGCGACGAAUGCGGGAGGAAGGGCUCUGCUGGACAUCACGGUCCUCAACCAGGGCAACCAACAUACCUUCUCCAGAGCAGGAAUCGGAUCAGUCAUCGACCUUACGUUCGUCAUCAGCUCAAUCUUCAACUCAGUGGGCUAGAGCAUUAGCAGAAUCUACCAUAGGACCGACCAUAGUGCAAUUAUCUGUCACAUAGGCCAGCAGACAGCUAGCGUAGAGACAGCUGCGUCUAGAUGGAAAUGCUAUCGCAAAUAUAAGCUCAACACGGCACUGUUGACGGAGCUUAUGACCAACCUCACUACCACCAUGGCUCAGAGGAGGCACUACGGUCGCCACCACCAACCAGUGUUCUGGUGGAACGAGAGCAUUGCCGCAAGCACGACGCCGCUACCAGCGCUCGCGCGGAAGCACUGCCUUUCCGCAAGGGCAAUCUACGUCCAGGGACUGCAGAAGGGCUCUCAAAGCCGCCAUAAGGAACAGCAAACGACUGUGCUUCCUGAAGUUAUGCGACUUUGUGGAGCAGGACCCAUGGGGAAGAACGUACAAGUUGGUGACGAACAAACUGUGCAGAAACUACAGAGGCAGUGCUGGUAUCCAGCUGGAAUAAAGUCGAGCCGGCCAACAUCUCAGUGGCAGGCACCUUAGUGUCAUCUAAGCGCGCAAUCAAGUACGUUCGUUUCUUGGUAGAUUCACGUCUCUGCUUUCGGGAGCACUUGGCCUACAUGGGCACGAAGGCGGCAACCAGCAACGGAGCUCUCGAGGCUAAUGCUGAACACCCGAUGACCAAAGCAAUGGCGACGACAACUGCUAACGAGUGUGAUGAGAUCGGUGAUGAUAUUUGCGGCGCCAAUCUGGUAAAAAGCCCUCUGAACAGCGAGCUACGCCCGGGGUCUGGCAGCCACGCACAGUCUCGGACGAGGCAGCCCACGUAAUCGCGGGUAUAGCACCCCUGGAAUUCCUUCCAGGAGAAUGGACGAGGCUGGCAAAAGGCAGGUGCGCAUGCCGUGAAAGCAGCACAGCCUCAGAAGGUGGCCACAACGCUGGGACAUGAUCCCUAAAGGGCGAUGGACCCACUAGCUCAUCCCGGUCAUCGACGCAUGGGUAAACAGGAAGCACGGACAGGUCAAUUUUUACCUGACUCAACUCCUCAGCGGCCACGGCUGCUUCCAAGGCUACCUUGAUCACUUCGGGCAGGAGGACUUCGCAGUGCUUUUGGUGCGUGCACAACGUGGAGGAAGAUGCCGAACAUAUAAUAUUUUCGUGUGGCAGAUUCUCAGCGCAGCGCCAUCGGCUGGAAGUAGCGCUUUAACCAAGCAAAACCUGGGGCCGUACAUGUUCCUGUCCCCGGAUAACUAGGAGACGACUGGCUAGGCUAAGCAAAGCCACCAUAAUGAAUGGAAUUUAAAAAAAAACACACACACACACACACAUUGAUCUAGCCAGGAGGACAUCAAUGCAUGCAGGCCUGUUGCAGCGAUGUAGAACCAAUCGUUAGCUAAACUAGUAAGAUAAACAUUGAUUUAAGUUUUCUCAUCUUUAUACAUAUAUGUAUAUAAAAAAAAAUAACAUCUACAUAUGUAUUUUUAUUUAAAAUAAAAUCCUCUAUAAUUAAGUUGUCAUCGCGUUAGAUUGUUUAAUAAGAAGCCAUGAAAUUUUGAAAAAAUGUUGAGGACAGUUAUUAUUUAGAACAGAGGAUCGUUACGAUAAAAAUAUACUGAAGAUUGGUCGAUAUGGAAUUGGAGUAGAGUAACUAUAAUGGGGUAUUGGGAGGGGAACAUAUAAGGAUUUAAGGGUUAAUACGGAAUAAGCGAGCAGUGGUUGGGUGGGUAAAAUCGGAGUAACAAGACCUGACUCCACGCGGUAAUAUAUAUGACACUAUCGACUUAAUUUUUUUAUAACACCUAACGGCCAGGUUAGCACCCAAAAUCUUUUGUAUGUGCUUAACAACUUAUAGUCCCCAGCAUUCGAAGAGCGCUAGCCGAAAGAUUGGUAACCAUGAUAUCUAUGAAAGUUGUCUAGUUUGCAGAGCGCGUAACAGCCACCACCACACCAGAAGACCGGGACACAUUACAAACCUAACCUAACCUAACCAUGACCGCACACAAUAAAAAUACAUUUGUUUUAAACGGCACAAAAGAAUAAACACUAAAAAGUUUUUUGAAUACUUGUUUAUUUUUUUCUUGUUAAAUGGGAUACUGUGACUUGGUGUUGAUAGGCAGUUAUUAAAAGAAUAAAGACUCACCCAGAUGCUCACCAACUCCUUUUACUUAAAUCAUACUUACUAGGAUUAUUAUGCAUUUAUUUGCUUUUCUUUCGCUUGAAACGGAAGUAAAAUAGUUGUUAUGUCAGUCGCAUAACAAAUGGCUCCAUAUUUUCAACGUUAUUCUUAAGUGAUUUAAAUAAUGAAAAACAUGUUAAAU